CUAAUACAUGCAAGUCGAGCGGACCGGACGAGAGCUUGCUCUUGUUCGGUUAGCGGCGGACGGGUGAGUAACACGUGGGCAACCUACCCGUAAGACCGGGAUAACUCCGGGAAACCGGAGCUAAUACCGGAUAACACCGAAGACCGCAUGGUCUUCGGUUGAAAGGCGGCUUCGGCUGUCACUUACGGAUGGGCCCGCGGCGCAUUAGCUAGUUGGUGAGGUAACGGCUCACCAAGGCGACGAUGCGUAGCCGGCCUGAGAGGGUGACCGGCCACACUGGGACUGAGACACGGCCCAGACUCCUACGGGAGGCAGCAGUAGGGAAUCUUCCGCAAUGGACGAAAGUCUGACGGAGCGACGCCGCGUGAGCGAAGAAGGUCUUCGGAUCGUAAAGCUCUGUUGUUAGGGAAGAAGAAGUAUCGUUCGAAUAGGGC
rnacentral:rRNA from 1 species